GACGAACGCUGGCGGCGUGCCUAACACAUGCAAGUCGAACGGAGAUUUUAGCAAUAAAAUCUUAGUGGCGAACGGGUGAGUAACGCGUAGACAACCUGCCUUCUAGAUGGGGACAACACUGCGAAAGUGGUGCUAAUACCGAAUGUUGUAAUUGGAAUGCAUGUUCUGAUUACUAAAGGUGGCCUCUAUUUAUAAGCUAUCGCUAGAAGAUGGGUCUGCGUCUGAUUAGCUAGUUGGUGAGGUAAUGGCUCACCAAGGCGACGAUCAGUAGCCGGUCUGAGAGGAUGAACGGCCACACUGGGACUGAGACACGGCCCAGACUCCUACGGGAGGCAGCAGUGGGGAAUCUUCCGCAAUGGACGAAAGUCUGACGGAGCAACGCCGCGUGAGUGAAGAAGGUUUUCGGAUCAUAAAACUCUGUUUUCAGGGACGAAUGUGCUGAUUGUAAAUAAUGGUUGGUAAUGACGGUACCUGACAAGAAAGCCACGGCUAACUACGUGCCAGCAGCCGCAGUAAAAC
rnacentral:rRNA from 1 species